UUAAGCGACUAAGCGUACACGGUGGAUGCCCUGGCAGUCAGAGGCGAUGAAGGACGUGCUAAUCUGCGAUAAGCGUCGGUGAGGUGAUAUGAACCGUUAUAACCGGCGAUUUCCGAAUGGGGAAACCCAGUGUGUUUCGACACACUAUCAUUAACUGAAUCCAUAGGUUAAUGAGGCGAACCGGGGGAACUGAAACAUCUAAGUACCCCGAGGAAAAGAAAUCAACCGAGAUUCCCCCAGUAGCGGCGAGCGAACGGGGAGGAGCCCAGAGCCUGAAUCAGUGUGUGUGUUAGUGGAAGUGUCUGGAAAGGCGCGCGAUACAGGGUGACAGCCCCGUACACAAAAAUGCACAUGCUGUGAGCUCGAUGAGUAGGGCGGGACACGUGGUAUCCUGUCUGAAUAUGGGGGGACCAUCCUCCAAGGCUAAAUACUCCUGACUGACCGAUAGUGAACCAGUACCGUGAGGGAAAGGCGAAAAGAACCCCGGCGAGGGGAGUGAAAAAGAACCUGAAACCGUGUACGUACAAGCAGUGGGAGCCUCUUAAUGGGGUGACUGCGUACCUUUUGUAUAAUGGGUCAGCGACUUAUAUUCUGUAGCAAGGUUAACCGAAUAGGGGAGCCGAAGGGAAACCGAGUCUUAACUGGGCGUUAAGUUGCAGGGUAUAGACCCGAAACCCGGUGAUCUAGCCAUGGGCAGGUUGAAGGUUGGGUAACACUAACUGGAGGACCGAACCGACUAAUGUUGAAAAAUUAGCGGAUGACUUGUGGCUGGGGGUGAAAGGCCAAUCAAACCGGGAGAUAGCUGGUUCUCCCCGAAAGCUAUUUAGGUAGCGCCUCGUGAAUUCAUCUCCGGGGGUAGAGCACUGUUUCGGCAAGGGGGUCAUCCCGACUUACCAACCCGAUGCAAACUGCGAAUACCGGAGAAUGUUAUCACGGGAGACACACGGCGUGUGCUAACGUCCGUCGUGAAGAGGGAAACAACCCAGACCGCCAGCUAAGGUCCCAAAGUCAUGGUUAAGUGGGAAACGAUGUGGGAAGGCCCAGACAGCCAGGAUGUUGGCUUAGAAGCAGCCAUCAUUUAAAGAAAGCGUAAUAGCUCACUGGUCGAGUCGGCCUGCGCGGAAGAUGUAACGGGGCUAAACCAUGCACCGAAGCUGCGGCAGCGACGCUUAUGCGUUGUUGGGUAGGGGAGCGUUCUGUAAGCCUGUGAAGGUGUGCUGUGAGACAUGCUGGAGGUAUCAGAAGUGCGAAUGCUGACAUAAGUAACGAUAAAGCGGGUGAAAAGCCCGCUCGCCGGAAGACCAAGGGUUCCUGUCCAACGUUAAUCGGGGCAGGGUGAGUCGACCCCUAAGGCGAGGCCGAAAGGCGUAGUCGAUGGGAAACAGGUUAAUAUUCCUGUACUUGGUGUUACUGCGAAGGGGGGACGGAGAAGGCUAUGUUGGCCGGGCGACGGUUGUCCCGGUUUAAGCGUGUAGGCUGGUUUUCCAGGCAAAUCCGGAAAACCAAGGCUGAGGCGUGAUGACGAGGCACUACGGUGCUGAAGCGACAAAUGCCCUGCUUCCAGGAAAAGCCUCUAAGCAUCAGGUAACAUCAAAUCGUACCCCAAACCGACACAGGUGGUCAGGUAGAGAAUACCAAGGCGCUUGAGAGAACUCGGGUGAAGGAACUAGGCAAAAUGGUGCCGUAACUUCGGGAGAAGGCACGCUGAUAUGUAGGUGAAGCGACUUGCUCGUGGAGCUGAAAUCAGUCGAAGAUACAAGCUGGCUGCAACUGUUUAUUAAAAACACAGCACUGUGCAAACACGAAAGUGGACGUAUACGGUGUGACGCCUGCCCGGUGCCGGAAGGUUAAUUGAUGGGGUUAGCGGCAACGCGAAGCUCUUGAUCGAAGCCCCGGUAAACGGCGGCCGUAACUAUAACGGUCCUAAGGUAGCGAAAUUCCUUGUCGGGUAAGUUCCGACCUGCACGAAUGGCGUAAUGAUGGCCAGGCUGUCUCCACCCGAGACUCAGUGAAAUUGAACUCGCUGUGAAGAUGCAGUGUACCCGCGGCAAGACGGAAAGACCCCGUGAACCUUUACUAUAGCUUGACACUGAACAUUGAGCCUUGAUGUGUAGGAUAGGUGGGAGGCUUUGAAGUGUGGACGCCAGUCUGCAUGGAGCCGACCUUGAAAUACCACCCUUUAAUGUUUGAUGUUCUAACGUUGGCCCCUAAUCGGGGUUGCGGACAGUGUCUGGUGGGUAGUUUGACUGGGGCGGUCUCCUCCUAAAGAGUAACGGAGGAGCACGAAGGUUGGCUAAUCCUGGUCGGACAUCAGGAGGUUAGUGCAAUGGCAUAAGCCAGCUUGACUGCGAGCGUGACGGCGCGAGCAGGUGCGAAAGCAGGUCAUAGUGAUCCGGUGGUUCUGAAUGGAAGGGCCAUCGCUCAACGGAUAAAAGGUACUCCGGGGAUAACAGGCUGAUACCGCCCAAGAGUUCAUAUCGACGGCGGUGUUUGGCACCUCGAUGUCGGCUCAUCACAUCCUGGGGCUGAAGUAGGUCCCAAGGGUAUGGCUGUUCGCCAUUUAAAGUGGUACGCGAGCUGGGUUUAGAACGUCGUGAGACAGUUCGGUCCCUAUCUGCCGUGGGCGCUGGAGAACUGAGGGGGGCUGCUCCUAGUACGAGAGGACCGGAGUGGACGCAUCACUGGUGUUCGGGUUGUCAUGCCAAUGGCACUGCCCGGUAGCUAAAUGCGGAAGAGAUAAGUGCUGAAAGCAUCUAAGCACGAAACUUGCCCCGAGAUGAGUUCUCCCUGAGACUUAGAGUCUCCUGAAGGAACGUUGAAGACGACGACGUUGAUAGGCCGGGUGUGUAAGCGCAGCGAUGCGUUGAGCUAACCGGUACUAAUGAACCGUGAGGCUUAACCUU
rnacentral:rRNA from 1 species